rnacentral:lncRNA from 1 species
ACGCAUAUUAACGCAAGGCUAAGACUUUAAUGAACCGCACAGCUAGUCUGUCGCAUGCAAUUAGAAUAUAGGCACAGUUAUGCAGCUACAUGCAAUCACAAGAUAUGCAAAAGUGAGUUCCCGAUUUUUCUGGUCGUUCGGUGGACUCGAGCGGCCUGGAGAGAUUCUCGCGCCUUACAUUUAGGAAACUAAAAGGAAUUUCUAUGGGUCCUACAUAAAAAAAGGAGGGAGUAUCUACACACAUUUUAGAAAUAGAUAAAUCCAGUUUUAUCAAAUUUGAGACAAAAAUUAUGAAACGGAGAAAUUACGUCUGCACCGUUUGAAAAAAAAAGAGAAAAUACAUAUCUGCAUCUACGCACGCAUGCAUGCGCGCCGGGGAUCGACUCUCUGUUCGUUUUACCAUUUCGCAUGAAUUUUGGUGCAUUGCCUUGCCGCAGCUGCCACCAAAACUGAUUCCAUCGGCAUAGCUACUAAUAUAGCCAGCGCCCGCGUCUUCUCGAACGCACCUUCCAUUCGCUUCGGUGACGUCGACGAUAAUCACGAUAUGCAUGGUUUGGGUGACGUCGACGAUAUGCAUGCCGUAUUGGAAACGGCGACUGCGAAGAAAAAUCAUAUUAUUUCUCUUCGAAGGAUCCGAUCGAGUAGCAGUUUGUUAGCACACCCAUGCGUAUAUUGCCAG